CGAAGCCGGCAUUCACUUGUACUCUCGCUGUACAGAAAUUCCUUAAUUCGGCUCCAUCUGCGUACGUCAACAGAAAACGUGAUGGAUUUUUUAAAAAAAUGUUCAAUGUUUCCAAGUAUGUGAGCAGAGGAAUUUAAAGGUCAGAACCUGGUCAGACACGGAUGACUUUCGAAGCGCAGAAGGGUCACACUUGGCGUCUUUGGAUUCCUGCGAUGGUGGUGCGAAGAGGACGACGGUGGAUUUCGCAGACGGCUGGACACCGGCCGGGGUGAGAACUGCGCCACACACGCUCUCCCUCUCAGUGCUGCUUUCGCUGGGGGCCUAUAAUGUCAUUUAUGGAUGUUUUGUGAGGAGCAAGUCAAAGUCUAAGGCCAUCAGGUGCUCGCGAAGCAUAUGGGCAUCGCAGUCAAAGGAAACCUCAGCAGCAUAUGACCUGCAUACUGUAUAUAUUUAAUUUCAUUUUUUCAAUCACAGUUGGACACUGCACUGGAAAGCGUGUUGAAGUUACACUUUGUCUUUCUUACAUUUCUCUCCUCUACUAUUUGAUAAUGGUGAGCUUGAUAAAAAUGAUGCCCUAUGAGGUUAAACGUAUUUGGAGGUAAAAAGGAGAAAUCCUCAAAGAAGACCUAAUUAUAACAAGAAGAAGGUAAGACCCCCUUUUGAGCUCCAUAGACAGAAUCAGAUUGGCUCGUUGCUCUAGUGCAGGAUGACCUGGACCAGGUGAGGACGCUCAGGCCAAAGGUGGACCCAGGCGUCCUUCACUCCUCAGUCCACAGCGUGACCAGCAUGACACAUCAAGGACUCCUGGGGGAGGGCGGUUCCUCCAGGCGUUAUACAAGGUAAUCAAAAGCACCUGCUUAUUGGCCCCAACAAAAUCCGAGGGACACAAAUAAUCGUGGCGCUAAAGGGACACUUUUAUGUGAUGGAAAAAACAUCUACUUUACAUUUUCAUUUAUUGGAAUUACGCCCUCUGUGUUACAGUUGUAUUAAUUUAAAUUUUUAUUGUCUGCGCCUCGUACGUCUAGAAUCGCGCUACGGAUUUAACGGAUUGGCGCUUCUCCGCCGUGACUGCUUUAUGAUUGGGGAAGGUCGAAAGUUUAUUGACUGGGUAACCCCUGGAAAAUAUCAGGCAUACACACAGGGGGGGUUAUUUUGGGAGGGACUUCAGUGGUGAUGGACACAGACCAGCUGCCCCCUUAGAGGCUUACAUCAGGUCACACAUCCUUCCGAUGGCUUCUCGAACCCUUCCCCCAUAUCGUUGCCAGAGAGGAGAGUCCAUGAGGGAGGAGGCUGGGAGGAGAGGGGGUCUGUCAGGGGAGGAGAAGGGAAAACAGAACCGGGUGAUGGAUGUGCGAGGGAGUCCCGGGUCUGCUCUUUGAGGCCUCAUCCUCCUCAUGGCCGUCAGGAACGUUUUCUCCAGCUGUGCAGAAGAAGAGCGUGCCGGCCACUCCGGUAAUGACGCUUCACCAGAAACAGGAAAUCAGAGCUGUCCGGUGGGUUUCGAGCAAACAUCUCAGCGCAGUGAAGUGACUGAAUCAAUACAUGGGGUGCACAGUGGCUGAUCAAAUGGCUCAUCGGAGGAACGGGUGAGAACAUGUGCACUCACUUAU